rnacentral:rRNA from 1 species
UACGUAGGGGGCAAGCGUUGUCCGGAUUUAUUGGGGGUAAAGAGCGUGUAGGCGGCCAUACAGGUCCGUUGUGAAAACUCGAGGCUCAACCUCGAGACGUCGAUGGAAACCGUAUGGCUAGAGUCCGGAAGAGGAGAGUGGAAUUCCUGGUGUAGCGGUGAAAUGCGCAGAUAUCAGGAAGAACACCCGUGGCUAAGGCGGCUCUCUAGUACGGUACUGACGCUGAGACGCGAAAGCGUGGGGAGCGAACAGG